AUAAAUACUAUGAAGGAGAGGAGUAGUUAGAUCACUGAGCUAAAGAGAGCCGGUGAUGGUGGAAAUCCGGUGCUUAUAUCUAACGAAGACACUCUGGAGUAGAUAGCUUGAAAUUAAGUAGGGCUAUUCGCUAGACCGGCGUUAAUGGUAAUAAAGUGGGGUAUUAUUUAUCCAAUAAGGGUGGCACCGCGGGAUUUAACCUCUCGUCCCUGUC
rnacentral:ncRNA from 1 species